CGGAGGGGGCUAGCGUUAUUCGGAAUUACUGGGCGUAAAGCGCACGUAGGCGGAUUGGAAAGUUGGGGGUGAAAUCCCGGGGCUCAACCCCGGAACUGCCUUCAAAACUAUCGGUCUGGAGUUCGAGAGAGGUGAGUGGAAUUCCGAGUGUAGAGGUGAAAUUCGUAGAUAUUCGGAGGAACACCAGUGGCGAAGGCGGCUCACUGGCUCGAUACUGACGCUGAGGUGCGAAAGCGUGGGGAGCAAACAGGA
rnacentral:rRNA from 1 species